UGGCUUCAGUGGAACUGUUCACUGAUGUCUCUUAACAACUCUCAGGAGGAGGAGAAAAAAAUGGAGAGCAGGAAGAGGCAAAGUGAAGGAGGAAGAAAGCAGGAGCAGAGAGAAGAAAAAGAAGAGGAGGAAGAAAGGGAAAUGGAGAUGUGAAGACAGAAGAAAACAAAAGAAAAUGACGAGGACGCACUGAGCACUCAGCAGCUGCCGAGUUCUCCCCUGGGCCCUUCGCAGACAUGGCCGCAACAUGGCCCCGGAGCGGUCAGUGCUCCACCCGCCCUGCAGAUUUGGAAACCUGGCAUCUGCUGGGGAGUGCUGCCGGGGUUCUACCAGUGGGACCUCGGGCAGCAUGACCACGUGCAGGUGUCAGUUCCUUUGCCCAGAAGUCUGGGCGCUGGACUCUCCACUGGACCAUGGUGUAAUCUGGAUAUUAUUAUUCUUGGCGCUUUCCUAAUCCCUCCACCUGCCCAGAGUUCCUGGAGCUUCCCAAUAUCCUGUAAUACACUACAUGGAGAUAGUUGUACUUAACUAACAACUUUGCAUGUGGCAGAGAGGCCAAGUAACUUAACUGAAGACACACAGGUGAUCUAUGGCAGAAAUGGGAUUUGAUCCCUGUCCACCUGAUUGCAGACUUUCACUCUUAGCCACAGUACCCUGAAAAAGGCACCGAGCUACAUGGGUCACAGCCUUCCCCUCAGCAAGAGUACAUGGCCCAGGGGAAGACAUUCCAUUCUGCCUCAUUUUAUAGGACUACGUACGCAUCCAUAUCAAAUAUUCAGGUCAUCUCGAAACUUCAUCGAUUGGCAUGAAAUAUUAGUCAAAAUGCUGAUGUUGUUAGGUUUUUCAAAAUCAAACAUUUAAUAUCUAAGAAGUUCCCUCUGAAUCCUCUAUAAGCAUUUCUCGGUAAUGAAUGGAAAGGGGUUGUGGGAAGAGGCAGAGUGAGAAGAAGAAGCAGCUUUCUUUGCAGGAGGCCACAAGUUAGAGCGGCUCUGGAGGAGGGCUCUGAUCCUCUCCCAGACAGGAAGGUCAUCCUGCCCAGCCAAGUGUCACAGAGGCCGCUUCUUUGCAACUUGCCCUCUGCAAGGUUAGGUCCCCUCCCUGUGCCCAGCAGUCUGAAUUCUGGAGUGAAACUGCACCUAAAUGAUUCAGAUGGUAACUGCUACAGACUCCUCAUUUAGAAUUACAGAACCCGGGACAUCUGGUGACUUUAGACUACAUCAGAACGUGCAACACCCUCCUUGUUCUUAAGUUUUGUGCAUCGACCAACACAACAGCAUGUGAAUUGCUGUGCCGUUUAUCUUGCAGAAAAGUACUCUGUCUGCUCCAGGAAGUAGCCCAGGAAGUGGAAGUUAG
rnacentral:lncRNA from 1 species